GACGAACGCUGGCGGCGUGCUUAACACAUGCAAGUCGAGCGGAGCGGCGAACGGGUGAGUAACGCGUGAGUAACUGCCCCCCUCUCUGGGAUAACAGUUGGAAACGGCUGCUAAUACCGGAUAGUGGGGGAUGACUCGCGUCCUAUCAGCUGGGUGGUGGGGUAGUGGCCUACCAAGGCGACGACGGGUAGACGGCCUGAGAGGGCGACAGGCCAAAGUGGGCUGGAAUACUGCCCAAACUCCUACGAGCGGCAGCAGUGGGGAAUAAUGCACCAUGAGGGAAACCCUGAUGCAGCACCGCCGCGUGCGGGAUAACGGCCGUCGGGUUGUACUCCGCUUUCAGCCAUGACGCGGUAGUGGCAGAAGAAGCAACGGCUAACUACGUGCCAGCAGCCGCGGUAAUAC
rnacentral:rRNA from 1 species